CCCGUGUGUUCACUGGGUGGCCCAACGCUGUCCAUCUCCCCCGGAGCUCAGAGCCAGAGGAAAUGGGUGUGAGUGGAGCCCGAACUUACUCACAACGCUGAACUUCCUGCCUGUAAGUAUUCUUAGACACUAGCAUGAGUUUCUAAAACAGAUUAGGUAUUGUCCUUGGAGCUCUUCAGCACGUUAAUUCCUAAGGGCUUUAAGAGUUUAGGUGUGGCCCAGAGCUGAGGGUGUGGACAAAACACGAUCCCAAGAUUCCUUCCAACCCCAGAUUCUGUUUCCAUCGCCCCAUCUAUUAUGGCCCCGAUGAUUUUUGAUGUCUUCUUUUGCCUGAGGUUAAACCGUAACCGUCCGAUGACCAGGAAAAAGUGCUUUGAGCAUAGUGUCCUGGGAGACCAGUGAGCCUCCCCAGAGCAUGAGGAGGAGGAAAGAUUAGCUUAUUGGUUUGUUUUCCCAGAAGGAAUGCUUAAAUUUAGGAAGGGUUGUUUACUCGUCAGACAAGUUCAUGACGACAAUGUUAGAAGUUUAAAACAGGGAGAAAAAUUCACUGUGAUCUUGUUACUCCCAACUGGCCGAGUGACCACCUUCUCUUUCCAUUCACCGGCCUGAGAUUUCCCCAGGACGUCGUGAAUGUUUAACCUGGCAUCCAGCCUCACCCACAGAGGAGUCUUACCUUAUGGCGACUGGGCCUUACUGAGUGAGUAGAAUGAAAAGCAAACAAAACAAACUAAAAGAAAAAUCCUAUGUAAUGGAAUUAUUUCCAGUUUUUAGAAUCAGCUUAUUUUCCUUCAUGGAAUCGUCUCACCUUCUGGGAAACCAAGCUGAGCCAUCUGGUGAAUUGUUGUGGUUAACAUUGAUAGGGUUUGGGGAUCGAUGGUGGGACAUUGUUGUUUUAGAGAUGUUUUCCCCUUCGUAUAAACAGUUCUGUUUGUUGGAAAUUGAACACCACCUACACGAAAUCUGAGCAUCUCUUUCCGCCGUGCUAUGCUGAAGUUGUUGUUACUUAUCACUGAUCCCAAGCCACCAACCCUGCAGGCAGAAGCCGAUGCACAAACUCUGGCUGAUAUGCUGCUGAUCAGCCCCUUGCAGGAGUUCCUCGGUAUAUUAGGGUUCUCCAGAGAGAGAACCAAUAGGAUAUGUCUCUAUGGAGAGAGAUUUAUUUUGAGAAAUUGGCUGGCAAGUCCAAAACCUGCUCGGUGGGCUGUCAGGCUGAAGAACCAAUGCUGUAGUUGAAAUCCAAAGGCUGUCAGGCUGGAGAAUUCCUUCUUGCUGGGGGAGGUCAGUUUUUGUUCUAUUCAGGCCUUUGACUGAUUGCAUGAGGCCCACCCACAUUACGGAGGGCAAUCGGCUGUGCUUAAAGCCUACUCAUUUAAAUGUUAAUCUCAUCAAAGAACACUCAUAAAAUGUCAAGAAAAAGUUUGACCGAAUAUCUGGACACCAUGGGCCCAGCCAAGCUGAGGCAUAAAAUGAACCAUCACACUUGGAUUCUGUCUGCCCAUGUGUUCAGCACAGCUCCCUGUCCUAACCCGGAUGCUGUCCUCCCUCAGCCCACCACACUCACACCUAUAAUCUCUUCGUGGGUUACUGUACCGGGGAGACAGUAGAGGAAGGUCUGUAUUCCACGAACUCAAAUGGCUAUGAAAAACGUAACCAGAUGUAAGCAUGGUAAUAAGACCGGGGCCAGGACAAAUUCUUAACUCAAGGAAUAACACCUUGAUUCUCGCAUGAGUGGUUGUUUCCAGGUAAGAAUAUACAGAUAGAUUGGUUUUACCUUUGGAUGUAAGCUAGAUGAAAUAAAUUAUUCUCAAGAGUGGUAUAAGGUUGGAGGCCCUGCAUAGAUAUUGAUUUCAUAUUUAAAGAAGUGGUUGUUACAGAAGCUGGCCCAGUGAUGUAGUGGUUAGGUUUGUGCUCUGCUUCAGUGGCCCAGGGUUCAUGGGUUUGGAUCCUGGGCAUAGACCUACACACCACUCAUCAAGCCAUGCUGUAGCAGCAUCCCACAUAUAAAAUAGAGGAAUAUUGGUACAGAGGUUAGCUCAGGGACAAUCUUCUUCAAGCAAAAAGAGGAAGACUGGGAGCAGAUGUUAGCACAGGGCCAAUCUUCCUCACCAAAAAAAAAAAGAAAAAGAAAAAGAAAAAAAGAAGUGGUUGUUACAAAGCAGCACAGCCAUAGAGCAAAAUUCACUGUAAAGUGCAGAUCAUGGGUAUGAGUGAAGGGGACCACGAGCCUUUUAAUAUCUGAUUUCAGCAAGAAGCCUGGGAUUUUCCCCACAUGGAUUCUUCCUUUAAGAAGAAAGAUGCUUUUUGUCUUGUUUGUUUUCCACACUGGGCAUCCAUUUAGAGUUACAGGUUCAUAGUGAUGCUAGCGGUACCAGCAAAAUACUGUCCCAGCUGGGGGGCUCACUCUGCACUUUGUACUCUAUUGACAUAAAAGAAGCUCUUCUUUUUUGUUUAUAUUUUUUUAAUUUAGCUUUCUAAAUUGCAGCUUUAUCAGUAACACUCAUGCAGUUGUACAUGGUAGGUACACAUAUAAAACUAAUUUUCUGAUUUUGUUUUAUUUUAUGAUAGUCCCUUAACCGCCAUAUUAUUCUCCUCUCACAAACACCCAUUCUGGGUUUUAAUGUGCGUUCUUCUAACCCACCUUCCAUACCUUCACAUUUGUAAGGUAGACGUAGUUUAUGUCACUGGUGCUGUGCCGUACCUCUCAUUCUACGUAUUUUUUCACUCUGUGAUGGUUUUGAGAAGUAGCCAUGUUGCUAUAAGUAAAUCUUGUUUAGUGCUUCUGACCGCUGUCUAGUUUUUUCCAUCCUAUGCAUGUACCACAGCUUGUCUACGCUCCACUGAAGGACAGUUAGAUUGUUUAAUGCUGUCUACACUGACAAUGCCAGUGCAAAUACACGGACAGAAGUCUCUUUGGGCACCUGUCAGUUUCUCUAGGGUAUCGCCAGGAAUGGUAUUUCUGGUUCACACAAAGAAUAUGCAUAUACUUGUUUUCACUAAAUAUUGCCCGACUGACCUCUAAAAAUGGUGGUAGCAGGUGACUCCUGCUCAUCUGUGGUGCGAUAAGGAGUUCCAUUUCCCCAUGUCCUUGUCAGCACUUGCUCUCACAUAACGUUUAAUUUCUUGUCAGUCUAAUGGUCGUAAGGCAGUAUCUCAUUGUUAAUGCAAUCUGCAUUCCUACUACUGAGAAGUUUGAGACUCUCCUCAUAUACUCACUGGCCAUUCCAGUUUUACUUCUAAGAAUUCUUUUUCAUAUUUUUGCCCAUUUUUCUAUUUUUUUUUUCUUGUUGAUCUGAAAGAGUUCCUUGGAUAUUCUGGAUUUUAAUCGUUUUUUGUUGUUGUUGAGGAAGAUUGGCCCUGAGCUACCAUCUGUUGCCAGUCUUCCCCCUGUUCUUCCCCCGCAAAGCCCCAGUACAUAGUUGUAUAUCCUAGUUGUAGGGCCUUCUAGUUCUUCUACGUGGGACGCUGCCUCAGCACGGCUUGAGUGAGUGGUGCUAGGUCCAUGCCCAGGAUCCGAACCAGUGAACCCUGGGCCACCACAGCAGAGUGUGCGAACUUGACCACUACGCCGCCAAGCCGGCCCCCUGGAUUUUAAUUCUUUGUCCUACUUUUGCAAAAUAUCUUCUUCCAGCAUAUCUCUUAUCUAUUACCUUUGUCUAGCGUGUCUUUUUUUGAAGAGAAAACUUUACUUUUGAGGUGUUAAAUCCAUCCAUUUCUUCCUUUAAAGUUGUAUUUUUGGGGGCCCCUACUCGAAUCAGCUAGCUUUUGCUGUAUAACAAAUCACUGCAAAGCCAAGUGGCUUAAGCCAACAGUGAUUAGUUGUUGUGGGCUGGUGGGGUGGUUCUUCCGGACUGGACCUGCCUCCUGGGGCUGGAUGGUCAGUGGUGGCCUCACAUCAUGGGGACUUCAGCUGGGAUGGCCAAGCCUCUCACUCACUCCACACGGCCUCUCAUCCUCCAGGAGGCUAGCCCAGGCUUCUUCACAUGGUGGUCUCAGGGUCGCAGCAGCAGGGAGGGCAAGCCCUAGCGUACGUGUGCUUUUCCAGCCUCUGCUUCUUCAUGUGGCUAAUGCCUGGUGGGCCAAAGCAAGUCACACGGCCAAGCCCAGAUUCAGGGACAGGGAAAAAAGACUCCUUCUACCUCCUAAUGGGAGGAGCUGCAAAAUGUGUGUGUUAGUCUGUUUUAAUGAGCUUUAUUUUUCAGAGCAGUUUUAGGUUCACAGCAAAAUUGAGUGGAAGGUACAGAGAGUUCCCAUACGCCCCCUGCCCCUACACAUUCGUAGCCUCCCUCAUUAUCAGCAUCCCCCACCAGAGGGGUGCCUUUGUUACAAUCGAUGAACCUCCACUGACACAUCGUUCUCACUCAGCAUCCAUGGUUUCCCUUAAGGUUCACUCUUGGUGUUGUACAUUCUACGGGUUUGGAUAAAUGUGUCAUGAUGCAUACCCACCAUUAUAGUAUCAUACAGAGUAGUUUCACUGCCCUAAAAAUCCUCUGUACUCCACCUAUUGGUCUAUUUUGCCCAAUCUCCCUUGCUUCUGCAAGCUUAGAGAUUUUCCCCUAUAUUUCCUAUUAGUGGUUUUAUAGUCUUAAAACUAUUUGGCAUUUCUUUCUCUAUUUUGUGAUUUUUAAUAUAUUUAAAUAAAUUAUUUAAAUUUUAAAAUGCUUCAUUUAUAAUUAUAUAAAUAAUUAUAUUUGUUAUUAUAUAAAAAUUAUAUCUGUUAUUAUAUAAUGUAAUUGUGUAUUAUACAAUUAUUGAAAAGAAAUUUAAAUUAAAAAAUUUUAAUUUAAAUCUAUUUUUUCCACAGAGUGGACCACAUUUUCCAAGACCUGUUACUGCGUGAUGUGUCUUUUUCCCUCUGCUCUGUAAUGCCAGCUCUAUCAUGCAGCGACUCCCUUAUAUAUGUAGCGCUUCUUCAAACUUUCCAUUUUGCUGGUCUCUCCUAUGCUUAUGCUUUGUAAUAUGGGUUGCUGUCUGAUAGAGCUAGUCCUUCUUUGCUUUUCUUUUGCAGAAUUCCCUUGGCUAUUUGUGGACUUUUACUCUUCUUUAUAAGUUUUUAGAAUUAAUCUUUCCACUUGAAAAAUCAUCUUGAAUUCAAGUUCCGGGGAUCUAAGGUACGGCAGAAUAUCUAUACAUAGGAUGGCAACGUGCCUACCUAGAGUUUCCCCGCUUGUUGGCAGAUGCAGUCACAUGACACAGUCCUGCUCAGUGAGAUCUGAGUGGACACCACGGAUGCCUGUCUCAGCUUCCUGAAGCCUGUCACUCCUGUGAUUAAGUUACAUUGUAAAGAAUCUGUCUUAGUGGACCGGAGGAGAGAUUCUCCUGCUGGCCUUGCAGAAGCAAGCUCCGUGUUGUCUGAGGGCCAUGUAGCAGAGAACUGUGGUCAACCUCUAAGAGCUGAGAGUGGCCCUUGGUUGACAGCCAGCAAGAAAGCGGAGACCUCAGUCCCACAAAUGCGAGAAACUGAAUUCUGCCAAUAACCCCAUGAGCUUAGAAGAGAAAGCUCCAAUUUCCAGAAAGGAACGCAGUCUAGCCCACACCUAAAUUGUGGGCUUCUGAGACCCUGAGCAGAGGACCCAGGUACUGGAGAUUAGGACUUGAACAUCUUUUUGGAGGACACAAUUCAACCCAAUACCAGCCUACAGUUUAAAGGCAAAGCCUGCUUCUAAUGGCCAACUUGAAGACCCCAGUGAGUUCUCAUUUGUUGCUGGUGAGAAUGUAAAAUGGUACAGCCCCUUUGGAACACAGUCUGGCAGUUCCUUAAAAAGGGUGUUCUUCAACAGCACGUUAAAUAGACCAAAUCCUGUUUUGCGUACCGAUGUGGAACCAUAUCCAAGAUGAAGUGAUAAGUGAAAAGAAGAAAACAGGCCUCAGGACACACAUGCGUGUGUGUGCAUAGAAGUUUCUCCAGACAGUAACACAGGAAAUUGAGACUUUGUCCUCGAAUUCCAUGAGUGGGAGCACCCAAUCAGAACUGCCUGUAUCUGGAUGAUGUCUGUCAUUUAUCUACCUCCCAGACUUGUUGGGAUCAUCAGUUUUACCUCCUAAAUUCCAUCCCUAAGAAAAUAUAGAUUAGUUUGGUUUGCUCUUGAACUUGAUAUAAAUGGAAUUACCUAUGGUUUUGGCAUUGUGACCUGCAGCUGCUAUCCACGUCCUUGUCCAUGUCUCCUGGUGAAUAUGUGCUCCCUGGGGCUGACGUUCUAGCCCUGGGAGCUGACCUUACUUUGUGCUAAUGAGAUUUCUACCCAUCUGUGACCAUAAAGGGAAAGCUGAUAAAGACCCUGGAGUUUGGGAAUCUGAAGCGGUGGAUCUUAUUGUCAUGGAUUGGUUCCUAUUCAUGACAAAUUCAUAUUGCAAAGGACCGAAAACCCAGCAGUUUUCUUAAACGUCAGAAUAAACCUGCUGUUAUUUUAAAAGCAUUAAAAAUUCUUUUAAACGGCAAAAAUCACUCUUAAAAGUCUUUUUAUUUCAAAUUAAUAGCUUCUAAAUGUGAAGGUCUCUGCUUUGUGACUAACAAAAACGUUUGCCAAUAUUCCAAAUUAGAUUAUUUUGUUUUUAGCAAGAAUCAGACUUUUUUUUUGAGCCAGAGGAGACUUUA
ensembl:lncRNA